GGAGAAGGUGACGGAAAACUCGCGGAAGAAGAAGCCAACGGCAGGAAACAAAAGACAGCAGAAGGGAGAAGAGGAAGCAGAAGAGAGUGAAACAGACGAUUCGACUGACAAACAGGGAGAAGAUACCCGGAAGUCCACCGGGAAAAAAAAGACAGCUCCUGCGAAGAAUGCAGUGGAGACCGUGACUGCAGAAAAAAGGAGGAAAGCGGCUGCCCUAGCUGAACAAGACAGGGAAACCACCAGGGCACUUCUGGGAUUGGAGCCCCCCCC